GAUGAACGCUGGCGGCGUGCCUAAUACAUGCCAGUCGAGCGAACAGAUGAGGAGCUUGCUCCUCUGACGUUAGCGGCGGACGGGUGAGUAACACGUGGAUAACCUACCUAUAAGACUGGGAUAACUUCGGGAAACCGGAGCUAAUACCGGAUAAUAUAUUGAACCGCAUGGUUCAAUAGUGAAAGACGGUUUUGCUGUCACUUAUAGAUGGAUCCGCGCCGCAUUAGCUAGUUGGUAAGGUAACGGCUUACCAAGGCAACGAUGCGUAGCCGACCUGAGAGGGUGAUCGGCCACACUGGAACUGAGACACGGUCCAGACUCCUACGGGAGGCAGCAGUAGGGAAUCUUCCGCAAUGGGCGAAAGCCUGACGGAGCAACGCCGCGUGAGUGAUGAAGGUCUUCGGAUCGUAAAACUCUGUUAUUAGGGAAGAACAAAUGUGUAAGUAACUAUGCACGUCUUGGCGGUACCUAAUCAGAAAGCCACGGCUAACUACGUG
rnacentral:rRNA from 1 species